AUUGAACGCUGGCGGCAUGCCUUACACAUGCAAGUCGAACGGCAGCACGGGAGCAAUCCUGGUGGCGAGUGGCGAACGGGUGAGUAAUAUAUCGGAACGUGCCCAGUCGUGGGGAUAACGUAGCGAAAGCUACGCUAAUACCGCAUACGAUCUAUGGAUGAAAGCGGGGGGAUCGCAAGACCUCGCGCGAUUGGAGCGGCCGAUAUCAGAUUAGGUAGUUGGUGAGGUAAAGGCUCACCAAGCCGACGAUCUGUAGCUGGUCUGAGAGGACGACCAGCCACACUGGGACUGAGACACGGCCCAGACUCCUACGGGAGGCAGCAGUGGGGAAUUUUGGACAAUGGGCGCAAGCCUGAUCCAGCAAUGCCGCGUGCAGGAUGAAGGCCUUCGGGUUGUU
rnacentral:rRNA from 1 species